UACGGAGGGUGCGAGCGUUGUCCGGAAUCAUUGGGCGUAAAGGGCGCGUAGGUGGCCACUUCAAGCGUGCGGUGAAAGUCGGGGGCUCAACCCCUGAUCGGCCGUGCGAACUGGGGGGCUGGAGCACUGUAGAGGCAGGCGGAAUUCCGGGUGUAGCGGUGGAAUGCGUAGAGAUCCGGAAGAACACCGGUGGCGAAGGCGGCCUGCUGGGGUGAGGCUGACGCUGAUGCGCGACAGCGUGGGGAGCAAACAGG
rnacentral:rRNA from 1 species